CCAACAUAAAACCAUAAUCAUAUAGUAAAAUAAUCAUUAAUUAAUAUCUCUACAUAUGCCAGCUUGACAUGUUCAAAACAUGUUACAACAUGCCUCAUAUAAUCUUUUCUUUGUCUCUUGGGGUCUAUUCCCGAACAUAAACCUCAUUUAAUUACAUUGAUCUACGGGACAAGGUGAGACAAGGUGACACUGAGCGAUAAGAAUGCCAUGUGAUAAGGUGAGACUGACGUAAGUUUGUAAGUGGUCAACCUUGGUCAACAGUAGACCAGUGACUAGACUCAGGGGUAGUUGAGUUCCGGAGAGAUCCAGGAUGCCGACUGAUAAGAAUGGCGGCAAUAUGGCAUCC
rnacentral:lncRNA from 1 species